UGGAUUUAAAAGUGACUGAGUGGCGGACGGGUGAGUAACACGUGAGCAAUCUGCCUUUCAGAGGGGGAUACCGAUUGGAAACGAUCGUUAAUACCGCAUAACAUAAUUGAACCGCAUGAUUUGAUUAUCAAAGAUUUAUCGCUGAAAGAUGAGCUCGCGUCUGAUUAGCUAGUUGGUAAGGUAACGGCUUACCAAGGCGACGAUCAGUAGCCGGACUGAGAGGUUGAUCGGCCACAUUGGGACUGAGACACGGCCCAGACUCC
rnacentral:rRNA from 1 species